AAAGCUCCGGCGGAGACGGAUUGGCUCGCGUGACAUUAGCUGGACGGCGGGGUAACGGCCCACCGUGGCUACGAUGUCUAGGGGUUCUGAGAGGAAGGUCCCCCACACUGGAACUGAGACACGGUCCAGACUCCUACGGGAGGCAGCAGUGAGGAAUAUUGGUCAAUGGGCGGGAGCCUGAACCAGCCAUGCCGCGUGAAGGCGAGUGCCCUACGGGCGUUAAACUUCUUUUGUGCGGGAGCAAUAAGGGCCACGCGUGGCCCGAUGAGAGUACCGCACGAAUAAGCAUCGGCUAACUCCGUGCCAGCAGCCGCGGUAAUACGGGGGAUGCGAGCGUUAUCCGGAUUUAUUGGGUUUAAAGGGUGCGUAGGCGGCGCUUCAGGUCAGCGGUGAAAUACCGGGGCUCAACCCCGGGGCUGCCGUUGAAACCGGAGCGCUAGAAUUCCGAUGCCGUCGGAGGAAUGUGUGGUGUAGCGGUGAAAUGCAUAGAUAUCACACAGAACACCGAUUGCGAAGGCAUCUGACGAAUCGGAGAUUGACGCUGAUGCACGAAAGCGUGGGUAUCGAACAGGAUUAGAUACCCUGGUAGUCCACGCUGUAAACGAUGAUGACUAGCCGUCGGCGAUACAGUGUCG
rnacentral:rRNA from 1 species